GAUGAACGCUGGCGGCGUGCCUAAUACAUGCAAGUAGAGCGCAGCGGGGACGGGUGAAUAACACGUGGAUAACCUCCUAUAAGACUUUGAUAACGUCGGGAAACCGGAGCUAAACCGGAUAAUUAUCGCUGGAUCCGGGCUGCAUUAGCUAGUUGGUAAGGUAACGGCUUACCAAGGAAACGAUGCAUAGCCGACCUGAGAGGGUGAUCGGCAACACUGGAACUGAGACACGGUCCAGACUCCUACGGGAGGAAGCAGUAGGGAACUUGCCGCAAGGGGCGAAAGCCUGACGGAGCAACGCCGCGUGAGUGAUGAAGGUCUUCGGAUCGUAAACCUCUGUUAUUAGGGAAGCGGUACCUAAUCAGAAAGCCACGGCUAACUACGUGCCAGCAGCCGCGGUAAUAC
rnacentral:rRNA from 1 species